UGCGUAGGCGGGUCUUUAAGUCAGGGGUGAAAUCCUGGAGCUCAACUCCAGAACUGCCUUUGAUACUGAGGAUCUUGAGUUCGGGAGAGGUGAGUGGAACUGCGAGUGUAGAGGUGAAAUUCGUAGAUAUUCGCAAGAACACCAGUGGCGAAGGCGGCUCACUGGCCCGAUACUGACGCUGAGGCAAAGACUGGGGAGGCAAACA
rnacentral:rRNA from 1 species